UACGUAGGGGGCUAGCGUUGUCCGGAUUUAUUGGGCGUAAAGAGCGUGUAGGCGGCCAGAUAGGUCUGCUGUGAAAACUCGAGGCUCAACCUCGAGAUGUCGGCGGAAACCAUUUGGCUAGAGUCCGGAAGAGGAAAGUGGAAUUCCUGGUGUAGCGGUGAAAUGCGCAGAUAUCAGGAGGAACACCGGUGGCGAAGGCGGGUCUCUGGGCCGAUACUGACGCUGAGGAGCGAACGCGUGGGGAGCGAACAGG
rnacentral:rRNA from 1 species